CCUCUGUGAAUCUCUCUCCUCUCAAUCGCUCUCUCUCAAAAUCUCUCCCUCACCAUCUCUCUUCACUCUCCUUCAUCUCUCUUUCCCGCCGCUCUCUCUCUCGGCUUUCCCUCUCCCUCGGUCGUCUCUCCCCGUCGACCCUCUCUCCAUGCCGCCUCUCUCCCCGAACAACACCGCCCGUCGCCGCCUCCUUUUCCGGCCGUUCAGCCGCCGCCGCCGGCCGUAAGCCACCACCAGUCUCAGUCCCUCUCUCUCGGGGGUUUCUCCCCAUCUCUCUCACUUUCUCUUCUCUCCCCUGCCUUGUUUCGCUACUGGGAUUGCGUGUAUAUACGCGUGUAUAUGUGUGUGCAGUGUGUGUAUUUCGACUGAGUGUGUGCGUUUUGUGUGUGUGUCCUGUGUGUNCUACUGGGAUUGCGUGUAUAUACGCGUGUAUAUGUGUGUGCUGUGUGUGUAUUUCGACUGAGUGUGUGCGUUUUGUGUGUGUGUCCUGUGUGUAAAUCAGUGUGUGUACUGGGUUUAGUGAAGGGUGUGUGUGUUCUCCGAGUGUUAUUAGUUAUGUGGCUGUGUAAUUCGUGGUGUGGCUAGAGUCAUAAAACUGAUUUUAUACGCUUUUAUUUAUUAUUUCGGUUGUUGGUUCGUUGGGUUGAGUAUUGAUUGUUGGAUGGUAGUUAUAAAGUAAGUUAUUCGGAUUGAUUACAGGUUUUGUUGGGAUUUGUUGUGUCGAUAUGAUAUCGACUGGUAGUCCGAUAAAUAGAGGAGGUGCUGCCCGAUUUUCAAAUAAAAUUAGAUUUUAAAUUAUAUGGGAGCAUAUCCUAUAGUUAUCGGACUAUUAAUCGAAUUUCUAUAGCUACCGAUUCGUGAUAUUUUUAUAAAUCUAUAAAUAAUAUUUAUGUGAUUUGGUAGUAAUACCAGUAAUAUAUAGCAUUAUUACUGAUGAUAAUGUGCGGAACUGUGUUUACUUGGUAAUUUUAGGAUGUCGAAUAUUAAUGUAUAUUAGUAUUAUUCUUUAUUAUUAUUAUUACUUUCUCUAGUAAUAAUAAUAGUAAAUAAUAAUAUUAAUAAUAUAAAUAUGCGAUAUCUUAAAUAGUUAAAAUGCUUUGCCUAUUAAUAUUUGAUUUUGCGUGUAGAAUUGAACUGCUAUGAUUAUCUAACUCAAGUUGCAAUUCUGAAUUGAAUAGUAUCUAAAUUGAGUAUUAUGGUAGGUGGUAAGUAAAUGUAUGGAAAUAUGUGAUACCUGCUAAGUGCUACGUGUUAAAUGUUAGAGUAUUAUUCUUGAUAGUAUAAUGUAUUAAUAUUGAGUUACUUUCCGUUUUAAAGAUAAGCUGCUAGUUUCUUUCAAUCAUGAUGUGUUUAGGUGCCGCAUGUCUGGGCGGAUUAUUUAUCAUUAUGUGUUAGGUGCCGCAUGUCGGGGCGGGUACUUUUCUUAUGUGUGUUGCUGCAUGUCAAGGCAGAUUUUCUUUAUAUUAGUAUUUUAUUUAGUUUAAAGAGAUUGAUAUGAUUGAUUUGAAAACAGGGGGAUAGUCCUAUUUACGAAUAGGUCAUGCCGAAUUUUCCGUAGAAAUAUUAACUUAAGUUACGCGUUCUCGUGUUAAAUAAUAUUCUGAGUUGGUUGUAAGUUAUAAGCUAUAAUGUGUGCUACUUGUUAUGUGCUGUAUAUAUAUGUAUAUAUAUAUCACGAAAGGGUAGAAAUAGGAUAGUCGUUUCGGAAGGAUACUAAAGUAGUAUCUUUUUGCUUAUAAUAGGAUCGAGCAUUGAGGGCGUGAUACCAAACAGAGGCAAGAAAAGGUGAGAGUUGUAUAGCGGUUCAGUAGUUACGGAUUGUUCGAGACGAGUAGAACCAGACAUUGGGGAUCAAGACUGAACUUAGAUAAGAUUCGUAUCAGGCUGCAGUAACCGCAUGAGCGACAUAGCAAAGAAUCAGGAAUAGUUGAUGGUGAUGUCUUGAGAAAGCAGAAUAAGAUAAGGAUGUUAGCUAAGAGUGUAAAAGCUAAGGACCAAAGGCAAGUAUUCUCAUUUCUCUCUUAUAUAUUUGAAAGUGCAAGUAUUCCUACUCUUCUCUUUUAUUUAAAGAGCAAGUAUUUCAAUUUCUUUUGAUAAUGCAAGUAUUUCUAUUCUUCUCUUAUUUAUUAAGAGCAAGUGAUUUAUUCCACAAUUAUUAAUUAUUGCCAAUGCAAUUAUUAUAUUCUGUAUUUCAAUUCAUAGAAUAUCAUAUGCUUUGGAUUUAAUUAUUGUUCGAUAUUCCAUACACCAUACAGAUACUCAAUAAUGAUUGAAUUCAAUACAUUCCAAUGAUUGAAUUCCCUACAUUCUAGUAAUCAUUCUACUAGAAUUCUCAAAUUACUUCUAAGAUAGAUAGUGAAAAACUAUGCUAUCCAGAUAUACUCCAAACAGUACAAGAGUUGAAAUUCAUAAUUAGCAAAUAACUAAUUAUUCUAGUUAUGUUGCCAUCAGUUGAUAUGACUACUCCGGACCAUGUGAAAUGGCGAGUUUGUUGAUCGAGAG
rnacentral:lncRNA from 1 species